GGAGGGAGUAGCUUUUGUUAUUAUUUCAUGGACAUUGAUUGAGGUAAUUUAUUAAAACACGUACUACACCAGAUGACCAGAAGCAGGACUGGCAUCGGGCUAUCUUCUCACCUACUCCACACUAUCAACACGUAUUCAUUUUCUUCUUUCUCUAGUCUUCUGGUCUUUUCGGAGCUCCCAGCCAUGGAAAGGAGCAAAAGGCUGAGCCAGAUUAGAUCCACUCCAUCUCAAGACAAGCCCGAGUCUCCCCUCGGUUUGCUACUUUGUGGUCCUCACCUCCACACGCACCUCGUGGCUGGGAUGAUGCUUGGAUCCCGGCCGGUGAACACGUAGCAGGGACCUAAUAGCAGCUGCGUGAUGGAGAACGCGAGGUCGUCGAACUCGACGAUGCCUUUCCCGUCAGCGUCCAUGGAGGCGAUGGAGUGGAUCUCGUUCCCUUAAGCUCCUGCGCAAUUUUGGGGAUCCUGGGAGGGUUAUCCGUCCCCAACCGUCGAGCUGCAGGCGUCGUUGCUGUUCCCAAGCGAGGCACCUGACGCAUCUUCUUCAUCCUCUACAGUAGCAGCCCGGCUUUGGCGUUGCAUUCUUCCACCUGCAAUAUACUUUAAGGUAUUUAUGGAUAUAUAAAAGGCUGGUAGCAUCCGUCUAGUUCACGGCGAUGGACAUGGCCUCUACACCGGCGAACAUUCAAGCCAAUACCCAUCUAGUUCGUAUGUAUGCAAGUAGCGCCACAUUUAAUAAAUCUUUGUUUCUGUCUGACCAAAGAGGGCAGGCCUGGCGCAGUGGUGAAGUCCUCCCCACUUGUGCCAAGAGGUCCUGGGUUCGAACCAGCCUCUCUGCAUUGCACUUUGCAGGGGUAAGACUAGGUUCCUAUAAUCCCUCCCCAGACCCCACCUUGUGUGGGAGCUUCUAUGCACUGGGUCUGUCCUUUUUCUGUCUGACCAAAUCCUUUGGUUUGUAUUGAUCAGUGUAUACAUGUCCUUGCCCUGAGUGCAUGUACCACUCUUAUAUUGUAAAUUCCCAAAGAGACAAUUGAUGACGGCACCUUAGAUUACAAAUUGAUAAUGUACAAUUAGUUAAGUGAAAUCGGUUCUGGCUCUCCAUGUUUCAUGGGGUGAAGCACAAUAUGUGUAAAGCCCUAUCGAGUUUUACCAUCUGAGCCACUUAGUACUGCGAUACAGUGGAGAUUCCAGCAAUCCUACAGUCCGUGGAUACUGCUAUUCAGUAGGUUAAUAGCGUGCCCCCCUUUUUAAAAAACCAUUUUAUUUGUUUUUAGUAACUUUAUUCCUUUUUGUAAUAUAUUUUGAGCUCUUCUUUAGAUAGCUAAUUCUUUGGUCUCAUUUAUUUGCUGUUUCUAUGAGUGUUUGUCCUCAUAUUUAGGUGAAAAUCCGAGUUGAAGAGGCGUGGGUCUAUCAUAAGGACCUGGUGAUUUUCAGGAAUGGAUAUGCGGAUCAUACAUGUUACGAAUCUACAUAACCUACCGAACUACUUCCAUGUUCUCAUGGCUUGAAGGGGAGCCUUGGCGCAGUGGUAAAGCUGCUGCCUUGUGACCAUGAGGUCAUGGGUUCAAGUCCUGGAAUAAGCCUCUUACAGAAAUGUAGGGAAAGGGUGCGUACUAUAGACCCAAAGUGGUCGGACCCUUCCCUGGACCCUGCGCAAGCGGGAGCUACAUGCACCAGGUUGCCCUUUUUUGCAGCCAAGGGGAUUAAGUUUGUAGUUUAGCACUUGCUAAUGCGUCAUCCUAGCCUGUGUUCCUUCCAGGUGCUUUCCUAAUCCUCUUGUCUUCUGUUGAUUCUUUUCUCUUAUUUUUGCAUUCUGUCCUUUUAUUUUUCGUUUUUUCCUUUAGAUUUUGAAUCCAUUCUCACUAAAAGUUGAAUGUGAAUAAUAUACUUUCCCUGCUAGGCAAACUUUAAUAGAAAACUAAUUGUGUUUAUAGAUGCAUAUGUGGCAUUAUAGCACCAAGCUGUUGGUGCAUGUCCGUUCAAACAUAAAAAAAGAACCUUCUUUCUUAGCUGAGAAUACCUCGUCAUUGGUACCAUCAAUGCUAAAAUGGUCAUGAUUUUUGUCAUGUCCUGCCAGUAAGGUAAGGUAGAAUACCAUAUAGUUUAAAAUAUAAAAUUGGACAUUUGUUUUUCUUAAAACAAAAAUUUAAAGUUUUGACAUGUGUAAAUUAUUUUUGCAGGUACAUGCAUUUAUUGGGUCCAAUAAUCACCCUGGUUAUCGAUAAACGAUUAGAAACAUUGGAUUUGGGGUAUUGCAAAAAUAGUUUAAAGUUCUCACCUUUGAUACUUGAAUAAAAUUGGAAGUGACAGUCAUGAUUGUUUUUUGUGCCAAACUUCCAUUUACCAUAUUUGCUAAAAUAUAUCCCCGUAGAGUGAUCCCUACCUUCUCACCACUGAAAGAAUUUGACCAUGUAAAAGUAAUGUAAAAAGUCAUACAUAAUUCUGAAAUUGCUUACAUAAUUGAAAUAACUUACAAUAGCAAAAGGACUUGCAUCUCGCAGAUGUUUGAAGUUUGCUCUCUGCUUGUCCGUCUGUUCUUCUGUACUUCCUCAAUUGGUUUCAUCAUGGUGAUACAUGCUGGAGAUAAUUUGAUGCACAUAUUACUUACUGGAGGUGGUGUGAUUGCUUGACGGAGCCGAUAACAGUCGAGGAGAGUCAACAGAGGAAACUGGGGCACUUGCAACUAUUGGAGGAAGGUGAUGUCCAAGUGCCGAUCGCUGGAGGAAGACGAUGACGAAGGUGGGCUCUGAAGGUGGGAUCCGACUUGUGGGGCGUGCUGAAACUGACUUGAUGCUAGCUUGUCAGCUAGUUUCAUCGCCCUGGCACCAUUGCUAACGUGAUUGCCAGAGUUCAUAAAUCACAACAUUACCUUCUCGCGGUAUCGCCUCGCCCUGAUUGCUCAAGGUAGUAGCCGCCUGCCUGGGACAACAAAUCAAUCUAAAGUUAGACUUUGUUCCCUUGGUGUUUUGGCAGCAAAAUAUCAUCAACCUCUUGGUUGUGAUGCUUUAAUUGUAAGUUACACUGCAUAUGUAGAGGCAACCUUCCAUUAUUAAUCUAUAAUUAUAAUAGUAACUUUGCACAUAGUUCUUUUGGCCCGAGACAGCUAUCUAAAGAGAUUUC
rnacentral:rRNA from 1 species